rnacentral:rRNA from 1 species
AACGAACGCUGGCGGCAUGCCUAACACAUGCAAGUCGAACGAGACCUCCGGGUCUAGUGGCGCACGGGUGCGUAACGCGUGGGAACCUGCCCUUAGGUUCGGAAUAACUCCCCGAAAGGGGGGCUAAUACCGGAUAAUUUCUUCUGACCAAAGAUUUAACGACUUUGUAUGGGCCCGCGUUGUAUUAGCUAGUUGGUAGCGUAAAAGCCUACCAAGGCUACGAUCCAUAGCUGGUCUGAGAGGCUGAUCAGCCACACUGGGACUGAGACACGGCACAGACUACUACGGGAGGCAGCAGUGGGGAAUAUUGCAAAAUGGGCGAAAGCCUGAUCCAGCUAUGCUGCGUGAGUGAUGAAGGCCUUAGAGUUGUAAAGCUCUUUUACACGGGAUGAUAAUGACAGUACCGGAAGAAUAAGCUCCGGCUAACUCCGUG